rnacentral:tRNA from 1 species
GAGGGUGUAGCUCAGUGGCAGAGCACAGGCUGAGCAUGCAUGAGGUCCUGGGUUCAAUCCCCAGUACCUCUA